GGUUUACUGAAGAAGAAACAAACUUAGUAUCUAUGGACGAACACCAUCUGUUAAUGACCAGUAGUCGGUUGUUUAGAUUGAACGUGCAAGAAUAGAUUGUCUUUGACAGCAGGAAAUUCGUCCCAAAUAUACAGAAGGGCUCAUGAUAUGACACGUGGCAGUAGUUAUGCAUAAAAAUUGUACUGUUAUUUGACUUAUUUCAGGAAAGUAUCACAAGUUCCUAGGUGUGCAGCAAUCGCAGAAGCAGUGGAGAACAAGAUCCUUCAUAGCUUCUUGGAGAAGGAGGAUUUCGGAGAGCAUGUACAACCAGAUGGCAAAGUCGAUGUUAUCAUUCACUGACUGCCGCCUUCAUAGGAAAAUCAACGAGCAUGUUGCUGCAGCUUAAAGCCUUAAAUACUUCUGCUCCUAGCUAGCUAUAAAAUUAGAGCAGAUACAUGUAUAGGUAUAGUAGCAUCUGUUGCUUUAAGUUAAAAGUCUAAAGUUAUUUUAAUCUUGCUUGCACAUUAUUAGAAGGUAGUUGGAAAAGGCAUAUGUCAUUAUUUUUAGGAGUUGAGAAACUACUUGUCUUCCUAUCAUGGCUGCAAGCUGAAUGUAAGAAACUAGCAAUAGAUUGAAAUUUGCGAGAGCAGAUGCAUUGUUUGGUGUA